UACAUCCCAGGUGCAUGACUUUACAUUUAUCGACCUUGAAUCUCAUCUGCCUUUUAGGCACCCAGAUUGCCAGUUUGAAGUUUGCAAGUAGGCCACAUCUAGCAAGAUGGAUGACAUAUAUAAUAGUUUUGACCAAAUUUAUGGACUGAGACUUUGCAAGGGGCCUUGCCUGACUGGAGAGCUGUGUCAAUGAGGCAUCAAAACCAAGAAGCUGAACCUAAAGAAUACGAUUUGGCCACCUUACCACUAGGCAAGAAAAAAAUGCCAGUCAACAUAUAGGAAAGGUAGAAACUGCUGCCUCUACUAUUCAUAUUCCAGUCUUGUAGGACGAUUUCGGCACAGACGCACUGAGCAAAAACGCAGGCAUCAAGGAAAUAAG